UCCCACAUGGUCUAGUGGUUAGGAUUCCAGCCUUUCACGUUGGCGGCCCGGGUUCAAUUCCCGGUGUGGGAA
rfam:Helobdella robusta unplaced genomic scaffold HELROscaffold_58, whole genome shotgun sequence.